CCUACGGGAGGCAGCAGUGAGGAAUAUUGGUCAAUGGGCGGAAGCCUGAACCAGCCAAGUCGCGUGAGGGAAUAAGGCCCUACGGGUCGUAAACCUCUUUUGCCGGGGAGCAAGGGCGGGGACGUGUCCCGGCCCGGAGAGUACCCGGAGAAAAAGCAUCGGCUAACUCCGUGCCAGCAGCCGCGGUAAUACGGAGUAUGCGAGCGUUAUCCGGAUUUAAUGGGUUUAAAGGGUGCGUAGGCGGGCGUUUAAGUCAGCGGUAAAAAUUCGGGGCUCAACCCCGUCCGGCCGUUGAAACUGGAGGCCUUGAGUGGGCGAGAAGAAGGCGGAAUGCGUGGUGUAGCGGUGAAAUGCAUAGAUAUCACGCAGAACCCCGAUGGCGAAGGCAGCCUUCCGGCGCCCUACUGACGCUGAGGCACGAAAGUGCGGGGAUCGAACAGGAUUAGAUACCCGAGUAGUC
rnacentral:rRNA from 1 species